rnacentral:rRNA from 1 species
UGGGGAAUUUUGGACAAUGGGCGCAAGCCUGAUCCAGCCAUGCCGCGUGCGGGAAGAAGGCCUUCGGGUUGUAAACCGCUUUGUCAGGGAAGAAAUCUUCUGAGUUAAUACCUCGGGAGGAUGACGGUACCUGAAGAAUAAGCACCGGCUAACUACGUGCCAGCAGCCGCGGUAAUACGUAGGGUGCAAGCGUUAAUCGGAAUUACUGGGCGUAAAGCGUGCGCAGGCGGUUUUGUAAGACAGAGGUGAAAUCCCCGGGCUCAACCUGGGAACUGCCUUUGUGACUGCAAGGCUUGAGUGCGGCAGAGGGGGGCAUGGAAUUCCGCGUGUAGCAGUGAAAUGCGUAGAUAUGCGGAGGAACACCGAUGGCGAAGGCCAAUUCCCCCUUGGGGCCUGCACUGACGCUCAUGCACGAAAGCGUGGGGAGCAAACAGGAUUAGAUACCCUGGUAGU